rnacentral:misc_RNA from 1 species
GAUGAAGAACGUGGCGAAAUGCGAUAAGUAAUGUGAAUUGCAGAAUUCAGUGAAUCAUCGAAUCUUUGAACGCACAUUGCGCCCCCUGGUAUUCCGGGGGGCAUGCCUGUUCGAGCGUCAUUUCACCACUCAAGCCUCGCUUGGUAUUGGGCAACGCGGUCCGCCGCGUGCCUCAAAUCGACCGGCUGGGUCUUCUGUCCCCUAAGCGUUGUGGAAACUAUUCGCUAAAGGGUGUUCGGGAGGCUACGCCGUAAAACAACCCCAUUUCUAGGUUGACCUCGGAUCAGGUAGGGAUACCCGCUGAACUUAAGCAUAUCAAUAAGCGGAGGA